CCGUCAGGUCCGGAAGGAAGCAGCGGUA
rnacentral:SRP_RNA from 22 species